AGAGUUUGAUCAUGGCUCAGAGUGAACGCUGGCGGCGUGCCUAACACAUGCAAGUCGAACGAGAACGGGUUACAGUUUACUGUAACUGUCAGCUAAGUGGCGCACGGGUGAGUAAUAUAUAGUUAACCUGCCCCAAAGAAGAGAAUAAUUGUUGGAAACGACUUGUAAUGCUCUAUAUGCCUUUAUCACAUAAGUGAGCAAGGGAAAUAUUUAUAGCUUUGGGAUGGGACUGUACGGUAUCAGUUUGUUGGUGAGGUAAUGGCUCACCAAGACUAUGACGCCUAACUGGUUUGAGAGGAUGAUCAGUCACACUGGAACUGAGACACGGUCCAGACUCCUACGGGAGGCAGCAGUGGGGAAUAUUGCACAAUGGACGAAAGUCUGAUGCAGCAACGCCGCGUGGAGGAUGACACAUUUCGGUGCGUAAACUCCUUUUAUUAGGGAAGAUAAUGACGGUACCUAAUGAAUAAGCACCGGCUAACUCCGUGCCAGCAGCCGCGGUAAUACGGGGGGUGCAAGCGUUACUCGGAAUCACUGGGCGUAAAGAGCAUGUAGGCUGGUUUGUAAGUUGGAAGUGAAAUCCUAUGGCUUAACCAUAGAACUGCUUCCAAAACUGCAGACCUAGAGUAUGGGAGAGGUAGAUGGAAUUUCUGGUGUAGGGGUAAAAUCCGUAGAGAUCAGAAGGAAUACCGAUUGCGAAGGCGAUCUACUGGAACAUUACUGACGCUGAGAUGCGAAAGCGUGGGGAGCAAACAGGAUUAGAUACCCUGGUAGUCCACGCCCUAAACGAUGCACACUAGUUGUUGCUAUGCUAGACAUAGCAGUAAUGCAGUUAACACAGUAAGUGUGCCGCCUGGGGAGUACGGUCGCAAGAUUAAAACUCAAAUGAAUUGACGG
rnacentral:rRNA from 1 species